rnacentral:lncRNA from 1 species
GGUGAGCAGACUUUAAAUAGAACAUGGGCACUUAAACAACUCUGGCAAUUUAGUUCUUAUUAAAGGGGUUGUGGUCAACAGCUCCAUAUCCUGGUUGACAUUGGUAUCAUGCUGUGGACCUGAUGAAUCAAGUCCAGAGGAGGGUAAUAGAGAAAUUUAGAGGCAUGGAACACCUCUCCCUUAAGAAAAGGCUGAAAGACUUGGUGUUGUUCAUCCUGGAGAAGGCUCCAGGGAUACAUUAUAGCAACCUUCCAGUACUUAAAGAGAGAUUGUAAGAAAGCUGGGGACAAAUGAAUACAACGCAUAAAAAUCACAAAAUUACUUGAAGUUUUCUGUUGAAGAGAAAAGUCUUGUCUAUAUGCAGGCAGCAUCUGUCAGAGCCAAUUUCAAAGCAAAAUACAUUAUAAUUUUUGUCAUAUUGUAGAAAAAAAAAGACUAUUUUGUCAGGUUAUUAGGGAUAAAUUUUAGAGUCUCCACAUCAUUUCACCUUAGUAUCAGCCUCAAUAAAAGCCUCAUAUCUUCCUGUAUUAAUUUUAAGUCCCAUUCACACAUAGGACUCACGGUUUAAAUUAAUAGAAUGAGAAAGAUUUAACCUCAUAAUAUUAUUCUCAGAUAAUCCUUAUAUCAACAAAAGUAUUUUAAUUCCUUUCUCUUCCUGUAACUUCGAUAGAGAUUCCACUCAUACCCUUAAUCUAUGAAAUAGUACAGUAAAAGACCAUGAUUUUCCUCUCAGAAGACCUGUAUAUUUCCUAUUUUUACAGGUGUAUGAGUUGUAGCCUCAUGAUUCUUUAUUGAAUGGAUGAUUGAAUUUUGAGUGCAAAAAGAAGUUCAGAGUGACAUAAAAUUGAUACCUCAUAUUCCAUGUUUUUCACAACUUUAACACCAUUAAGCGUAUCUCUGCUCUGCCCUUCCUUCCAGCUGUGACCUGGCAUAUCCCUCAGUUCAUAUUUUCAGUUACAUGACUUGCAAGGACAGAAACCCCACUUCUCUGACUGUGCUUCUAAACUAUGUGAACCUUCAUGUCCUUUAGCACACACCAAAUGCAAAAUGUCACGUCUGAACUGCAGCUAAAUGAAACCAAACUUGCAAUUCCUAUGUCAGCAAUGGCUCAAGCAGGUGAAAUUUCAGAAAACCAACUCCACUUAAUCUUGUUAUUGUAUCCCCAAGCUUCCUUUGAUAAAGUUUAGUAUUGUUUGGCACUGGAGAUUAUGGAAAGGAAUCAAUUAAUGGUUUGUACAGGAGUUACUAAAAAUUAAUGAAAUUUGCUAAGAUAUAUAGAUUACCGUAAUUCAUCUGGAGAAUAAUAGAUGACAGAACAUAUUUUCAGAAUCCUACUACCUAGUUUUGAUAUUGAUGAUAAUGCACAGGGCAACCCUUAGAUGUCAAACCUGGAAAACAGAAGCUUUUUCAUUUCAGCUGUGUCCUAGCUGAGCCCCAAAUGAUGCUUAAGCCUUGUCACUGAUACCAGCUAUAAAAAAGUAAACCAAUUUCUGAAUACCAUCAUGGCCCACAAAAUUCAUUCUUUCAUGGUCUUGUGAACAAGUGGAUGACUACAGAUUUCUGCAUGAAAAUGCAGCCCUUUGGAAUGGCAGCAUUUAUAAUGGAAGCACAUUUGAUUCUUGAUGAGUCAAAUUUGAGUUUUAUUUACAGGUUGAAUAAAAAUUUAAAAUUCUGUAUUGAACUAAAGGAAUAUUUGCAUUCCUUUUUGCUUGACCAGCUGAGAGAAAAAAAAAGAUUGAACAGGUUUUUAUUUUCACAUUUUCCUUAAAUAAAACCUGGGUAAAUAAAUACAGGAAUUUUGCCAUUUUAAUACCCCUUCUUAAACAGACCUUAAAUGAUUUAGUAAAAAGAUGUCUGUGUUCUCUUCCUUUGCAUACAUUAUCUUUCAACAUAAAUGAGACAUCAUCUUUAAGGUUCAGUUAUUGCACUAUGUUACUAUAGCAACUCUCAGGAGAAGUCUUUUAAUCAACCUUCAACAAAAAAAACCCAACUCUACUUCAUUUAUAAACACUCUCUAAAUUAAGCAAAAGAUAUUAUUUUAGUGGUUAAAUACCUGAUUUUAACAACUACAUAGAGCAAUAAAAGAUCUUUGCCUGUAUCAUGAAACCAGUGCUGCCUAUAGAGCUCAGGGGAAGGACAGUCAAGGCUGGAGUUAGGGCAACAUUCAGAUGAAAGAAUAAUUCUUCAUUAAACUUUGUGAUUAAAGACCUCUUUGAAUGUACCCUAUUCUGUAAGUUAAAAUGGCCACAUUUCCAGUCAUGGAAAACUGACACAGUUUCACUGAAUUCAAUGGAGCAAAGCCAAUUUACACCUGCCGAGGCCCUUCCUAUUGUAUGAGAUGAAUAGUACAUUCCUUCAGGAUGAGAGAACUUUUUGAUCAUGCUCUCUGAAGUGAAUGGGCAACUCUGAAAGCAAGAGGAUGGCAAAUGUUUAAAUCAAUAUUAACCCAAGUAAAAUUGAAUUUGGAUCAUAACAUUUUUUCCAUUGAAUGUUCAAGAUGAAGUCCCUGUCCUGACAUUGAUAAGUGCACAUCUACACACUCCAUUUUCAGACUGAGAUCUAAAAUAUUUUAUGUCAAGGGCUAUUGUUGAAUAUAUAUUAAAAAAUAACAAAAUCAAAAAAUCAAAAACAAAACAAACAACUACUUAUUUUACUUUUUAUGUUAAAUUAAUUAUAAUUAGCCUGGAACUAACAUUCCCUCUAACUGUAUUACAACAUAUUUUUAUGCCUUGCUGCUAAAAAUAACUAUCCUUGGAAAAAAAAAUCUAUAUAAGAAGUAAGCUUUAACAUCAGCUAUAGAUUUUAAUUCCAAACGUAUAGUACUUUAAUUACAGAUUUGGGAUUGGUUUCCAAACUGCUGGCAGUCCAAGUCCAAUGCAGCACUUUCCAACAUUACCUUCAGUGGCCUAGGAAAACUGAAGCAUAUAUAUACCCACAGAUGUCAAAAGUGUUUAGGCCAGAUUCUGUGCACUCUUUCUUUUCAAUUUUCAUCUUUCUUCCGCUCUUAGAUAUCAUUCCACUAUAUCUAAGGUAAGAAAAAACAGCUGGAAAGAUACUCACUAACCCAUCCAUUUUCACCUUGUGUCGGAAAUUGUUUUCAAUAUUUAAUUACCAUUUUUAUUGUGUUCCUUCUUACCUGUAUUGGUUUGAUUUAAAUGUAGCUGCAAAAUGACAACUUAUUUUCAUUUUGAAUACAGUGUUGAAGCAAAAGAGAUAUGGAAUGAGUAUUAUAACAGUACAGCUUCAAAAUUUCAUUAGCAAUGUAUUUUCUACUUUAGUGAGAAAUUGAUGCAAAAUUUUUGAGCAGCAAAAUAGGUAGGUGAUUUUGACCAGAGUAGCCAGCUGGGAAGAAAAAUGUUUUACAUUUACAAGCUUAUAUGCAUUGAGAAAGACACAGGGUCUGACAUGAGUUUUUAAUAAACACAAAAGCAAAAUACAAUGUGGUCAGGAACAAUGAAUGGAGAGAAUGAUUUUUGAAAUUUAGAUACAUAUAGUGGUUUUCCUGAUUAAUUAUUGGUUUCUCCUAGUAUUGUUAUUAACUCAAAAUCUUCUGUCUGCUAGGAAACCUUUAAAUCAGACUACACCAAUGUCUCAGUGGUGAAACUGAAAUAAGGGCUUUAAAAAAUUAAAUCCAGCAUUAAAUGACAGGAAUUUUGUUCUGAAGGUUCAGUUGUACACUAGAUGAAAUUUAAUAAGCUAAACCAUUAAAAAGUAUUACAGCUGAGAGCAUAGCUUCUUGAAAUUCCAUCCAAUUCCUGUCCUUUCUGAAGGCACUGCAACUGGCAAUAGUAAAAAGCAAAAAAAAAAAGUGAAAACAAUAAAAUUAAUAAUUCCAUGGAAAACAAAUAAAUGAAGAUUGGCUUCCUCUGUAGAAUACAGUAAAUCUUCCAUAUUAUUUAAUUUUUAGUAAGCUUUUUGUGCAUUGUGUCAUUUAGUAAGCUUACUCACUUCUCUCCACAUUCCCCACCCUGGUGGGAUGGAGGGAGAAUGAGGGUAAAAAAGUAAUAUCUGUGGGUCGAGAUAAGACGAGUUCAAUAACUGAAAUAAGGUAAAAUAUAAUGACAAUACUACUAAUAACAAGUGAUGCACAAUACAAUUUCUUGCCACCCGUUGACCAAUGUCCAGCUUGGUCCCAAGGAAAGAUUAGCCCCUUCCAGGUAACUCCCCUCAAUUUACAUUUUGGGCAUGACAUCCUAUGCCAUGGAAUGUCCCUUUGGCUAGUUCAGGUCAGUCUCUUGUGCACCUCCUCACUGGCAGAGCAUGAGACACUGAAAAGUCCUCAGCAAAAGCUAGACAUCAGUGUGUUAUCAAUAUUAUUUUCAUAUUAAAUCCAAAACACAGCACUGAAACAGCUAGUAAGGAGAAAAUUAACUCUGUCAUAGUUGAAACCAGACUAAAGCACUAAGCUCCAUCAGCAGUAUUUUUGUCAAAGCUUCUCUGACGGCCCUUUAAUAAAAUCUGCUGGAACUUAGAUUUCAAGACUUUUAUCCCUUGUUCAAUUCCAUCCAGACUGGAUACUUGAAUUCAGAAGUUACAGAAGAAUAAGUUCCAUGUCACAAAGAGAGUGGAACAAACUUCAUUUAUUCAGGAAAUUUUGCUAUGGUAACAUCUUUUUUCUAGAUAUUUCCAAAUAUUUAAAGCCAUAUGACCAUAUUUCAAUUUUAAAUGAAGAGACUUCUGGAAUUUUGCCUCACAGAAAACUUUUCUUCUGUUUCAAGAGAAAAUUUUAGAAGAUAUGCAUGGUCAGAAUAUUUCUAGGGAAUAUGAAUGCUGCAGUUUCCACAGUUCUUUCUACAAGAUCCUUCUGUCUUGCUACAUGAGUUCUUUUAGAUAUUCUUUUACUUAAACCAAAUUGUUUAUCUUUCAAGUGUAUCUUAGUUCAAACUUUAUUAUUUUAUGCAUAACACAAUAACAGCAUUAUCUCAAUAGCCUUCCUAUUUCCGGUUAAAUUCAAAAUAUGAAGCAAAAAAAUUUCCUGCAGUGACAGCAAUAUUCGGAUUUAUGCUAACCAGACCUACUGCAGUGGAAGCUGCAGGGGAACAUUUUUCACCUAAGUGAAAGAAAUGAAAAGCCAAGAAACAAAGUAAGUGAGAAAUAAAAAAAAAAAAAAAAA